rnacentral:rRNA from 1 species
AAGCAGGGGAUCUUCGGACCUUGCGCUAUUGGAUGAGCCUAAGUCGGAUUAGCUAGUUGGUGGGGUAAUGGCCCACCAAGGCGACGAUCCGUAGCUGGUCUGAGAGGAUGAUCAGCCACAUCGGGACUGAGACACGGCCCGAACUCCUACGGGAGGCAGCAGUGGGGAAUAUUGGACAAUGGGGGCAACCCUGAUCCAGCCAUGCCGCGUGUGUGAAGAAGGCUUUCGGGUUGUAAAGCACUUUCAGUGAGGAGGAAGGCCAAGUCGCUAAUAUCGGCUUGGAUUGACGUUACUCACAGAAGAAGCACCGGCUAACUCCGUGCCAGCAGCCGCGGUAAUACGGAGGGUGCAAGC